GAUGAACGCUAGCGGCAGGCCUAACACAUGCAAGUCGAGGGGCAGCGGGUAAGUAGCUUGCUACUUAUGCCGGCGACCGGCGGACGGGUGCGUAACGCGUAUGUAACCUACCUUUGACAGGGGGAUAACAUCGAGAAAUUGGUACUAAUACCCCAUAACAUCACCGGAGGCAUCUUCGGUGGUUGAAAACUCAGGUGGUCAGAGAUGGACAUGCGUUGUAUUAGCUAGUUGGUGAGGUAACGGCUUACCAAGGCGACGAUACAUAGGGGGACUGAGAGGUUAACCCCCCACAUUGGUACUGAGACACGGACCAA
rnacentral:rRNA from 1 species